rnacentral:rRNA from 1 species
UACGUAGGGGGCAAGCGUUGUCCGGAUUUAUUGGGCGUAAAGAGCGUGUAGGCGGCCAGGUAGGUCCGUUGUGAAAACUCGAGGCUCAACCUCGAGACGCCGAUGGAAACCCCCUGGCUAGAGUCCGGAAGAGGAGAAUGGAAUUCCUGGUGUAGCGGUGAAAUGCGCAGAUAUCGGGAAGAACACCCGUGGCUAAGGCGGUUCUCUAGUACGGUACUGACGCUGAGACGCGAAAGCGUGGGGAGCGAACAGG